rnacentral:rRNA from 1 species
GAUGAACGCUAGCGAUAGGCCUAACACAUGCAAGUCGAGGGGCAGCACAAGGUAGCUUGCUCUCUGGGUGGCGACCGGCGCACGGGUGCGUAACGCGUAUGCAACUUGCCCUAUACAGGAGGAUAACCCGUCGAAAGACGGACUAAUACUGCGUAUGCUCACAACUUGGCAUCAAGUGGUGAGGAAAGAAAUUCGGUAUAGGAUAGGCAUGCGUCCCAUUAGCUUGUUGGUGAGGUAACGGCUCACCAAGGCAACGAUGGGUAGGGGAACUGAGAGGUUUAUCCCCCACACUGGUACUGAGACACGGACCAGACUCCUACGGGAGGCAGCAGUGAGGAAUAUUGGUCAAUGGGCGCGAGCCUGAACCAGCCAAGUCGCGUGAAGGAUGACUGUCUUAUGGAUUGUAAACUUCUUUUAUACGGGAAUAACAAGAGUCACGUGUGACUCCCUGCAUGUACCGUAUGAAUAAGCAUCGGCUAACUCCGUG